CCUACGGGAGGCAGCAGUGGGGAAUAUUGGGCAAUGGGCGCAAGCCUGACCCAGCAACGCCGCGUGCAGGAAGAAGGCUUUCGGGUUGUAAACUGCUUUUAAGAGGGAAGAGCAGAAGACGGUAGCACUUGAAUAAGCCACGGCUAACUACGUGCCAGCACCCGGGGUAACACGGGGGAAGCGAGCGUUGUCCGGAUUUAUUGGGUUUAAAGCGUGCGUAGGCGGGCUGUUAAGUCAGCGGUAAAAGCCCGGGGCUCAACCCCGGCGAGCCGUUGAUAUUGGCUGACUUGAGAUGUAGAGAGGUAUGCGGAAUGCGAAGUGUAGCGGUGAAAUGCGUAGAUAUAGCGAAGAACUCCGAUUGCGAAGGCAGCAUACUGGCGGCGAUCUGACGCUGAGGCACGAAAGCGUGGGUAUCGAACAGGAUUAGAUACCCCUGUAGUC
rnacentral:rRNA from 1 species